rnacentral:rRNA from 1 species
UACAGAGGUCCCAAGCGUUGUUCGGAUUCAUUGGGCGUAAAGGGUGCGUAGGCGGCGCGGUAAGUCGGGUGUGAAAUCUCGGAGCUUAACUCCGAAACUGCAUUCGAUACUGCCGUGCUUGAGGACUGGAGAGGAGACUGGAAUUUACGGUGUAGAGGUGAAAUUCGUAGAUAUUCGCAAGAACACCAGUGGCGAAGGCGGCUCACUGGCCCGAUACUGACGCUGAGGCACGAAAGCGUGGGGAGCAAACAGG